UUUGCAGUUUCAUCUACAUUGUGCGUUAAGUUUUGGCCUUCUGGAUUCUUUCAAACUAGCGGUUUCAUCUUAGUGGAGAGGUAGCCAAUUAUUUAUAACAAUCUCCCACACAGACACCGACACGCAUUGAAAUUUAGAUGGUGAAUCAAGGCAAGAUUUUCCCCUUUAUAGGGGGGUUUCUAAAUCCCCAGGUUCAUCACACUUCCGUUAUUCCGUUUCAUUCCAUACGUUUUGCCGAUUCAUUCCUCUUUGCAUCUGUGGCCGCUCAGAUUAGGUCUCUCUUCAGUUAAAACCCCAAUUUGUUGUUCCUCACGCUGAGGUCACAGAGGACCUCUACAUCUCCUCCCUGGCUCUGCCGUUAGCAUCCGGAUAACUCAAAUGAAGGGCUCGAUGCGCAACUUUAGUUGCAGACCAACCCACGCUGGAGAGGAGCAUUCACGCGGCACCGACCUUACUAUGUAAUUGAGGGUCUAAUCUUCUCUUUCAAUUUUGGGUUUCCUACAGUUCUGCUUUGUAGAUACCGAAUUUGAAGGACUUCCAUUCAUCUGAAUUGCCGCCCAUGCUCGCAUUUUUGGGGAGGACAUGCCUAUUGCAGAUGAAAUAUUUGGUCCUGUGAUGGCACUGAUGAAAUUUAACAUGCAUUGUGACCAAGAGCCUAGACAUAGCAAACACUGUCAAGUCGAUUCACGCGGGCAUUAUUUGGAUCAAUUGUUAUUUUGCCUUUGGGAGGGAUUUUGGAAUGGAAGCUCUCUACAAGUACUUGCAAGUUAAAUCUGUUGCACCUUCUGACUCCUUUUCUCACUUAGGCGUUUGUGGAGACCAUUCUUGCUCCAAAUAUGCAACUCAACAUUGUGUUAUUCCGAAAGGUCCGCAUCUUUCUCUGUUGUUGAUUUUCUUUGGUUAAUAUCCCCGUGCAUCACCUUUGAGUUACAUAGGAGCUAAUGUGUUUUUGUUGUGCUUUUCUCUAGAAAUUUACAGGCCUGCCAGUUGCAAUGAGGUUAUUAGUCAAAAGUUUUUUGUCCCAUUGGCUUAAGGUAUCUGUAUAAAUUGGUUGUCCUUGAGCUUCAAUGAUAAAGAAACAUUUAAUGGUAUCUUGAGUUGAAAUCCUUUUUGUUUACCUUAUUGAGAUUCUUUUUUCUACACUAUGAAUCAAUUUUAUACAACUUGGUGCUCAAAAUUCCCAGAUGAGGAUGACUG